rnacentral:rRNA from 1 species
UAAACGACUCUCGGCAACGGAUAUCUUGGCUCACGCAUCGAUGAAGAACGCAGCAAAAUGCGAUACUUGGUGUGAAUUGCAGAAUCCCGUGAACCAUCGAGUUUUUGAACGCAAGUUGCGCCCAAGGCCUUUUGGUUGAGGGCACGUCUGCCUGGGCGUCACAC